rnacentral:tRNA from 1 species
GCUGAAGUAGCAAAGUGGUUUAAUGCAAAAGACUUAGGAUCUUUUAACGAGGGUUCAACUCCUUCUUUCAGCU